rnacentral:rRNA from 1 species
GCAUAUCAAUAAGCGGAGGAAAAGAAACCAACAGGGAUUGCCUCAGUAACGGCGAGUGAAGCGGCAAAAGCUCAAAUUUGAAAUCCCCCGGGAAUUGUAAUUUGAAGAGAUUUGGGUCCGGCCGGCGGGGGUUAAGUCCACUGGAAAGUGGCGCCACAGAGGGUGACAGCCCCGUGAACCCCCUUAACGCCCUCAUCCCAGAUCUCCAAGAGUCGAGUUGUUUGGGAAUGCAGCUCUAAGUGGGUGGUAAAUUCCAUCUAAAGCUAAAUACCGGCGAGAGACCGAUAGCGAACAAGUACAGUGAUGGAAAGAUGAAAAGCACUUUGAAAAGAGAGUGAAAAAGUACGUGAAAUUGUUGAAAGGGAAGGGCUUGCAAGCAGACACUUAACUGGGCCAGCAUCGGGGCGGCGGGGAAACAAAACCACCGGGGAAUGUCCCUUUCGAGGAUAAUACCCCUGGUCCUUAUUCCCAUGCCGCCCCGAGGCCUGCAUUCUAAGGAUGCUGGCGUAAUGGUUGCAAGUCGCCCGUCUUGAAACACGGACCAAGGAGUCUAACAAUCAUGCAAGUGUUUGGGCCCAAAACCCAUACGCGCAAUGAAAGUAACCGGAGCGAACCUUCUGGUGCAGCUCCCGCCACACCGAGACCCAAAUCCCGGUG